GGGGAUUUAGCUCAGCGGUAGAGCACUUGCCUAGCGAGCGAGCGCAAGGCCCUGGGUUCGGUCCCCAGCUCCG
rnacentral:tRNA from 1 species